rnacentral:rRNA from 1 species
UAGGGAAUUUUCGUCAAUGGGCGCAAGCCUGAACGAGCAAUGCCGCGUGAACGAGGAAGGUCUUCGGAUCGUAAAGUUCUGUUGAAGGGGAAAAAGNGCGGAGAGAGGAAAUGGUCUCCGAUUGAUAUUACCCUUCGAGGAAGUCACGGCUAACUACGUGCC